AUUGAACGCUGGCGGCAGGCCUAACACAUGCAAGUCGAGCGGCAGCGGAAAGUAGCUUGCUACUUUGCCGGCGAGCGGCGGACGGGUGAGUAAUGUCUGGGAAACUGCCUGAUGGAGGGGGAUAACUACUGGAAACGGUAGCUAAUACCGCAUAACGUCGCAAGACCAAAGAGGGGGACCUUCGGGCCUCUUGCCAUCAGAUGUGCCCAGAUGGGAUUAGCUAGUAGGUGGGGUAACGGCUCACCUAGGCGACGAUCCCUAGCUGGUCUGAGAGGAUGACCAGCCACACUGGAACUGAGACACGGUCCAGACUCCUACGGGAGGCAGCAGUGGGGAAUAUUGCACAAUGGGCGCAAGCCUGAUGCAGCCAUGCCGCGUGUAUGAAGAAGGCCUUCGGGUUGUAAAGUACUUUCAGCGGGGAGGAAGGUGUUGUGGUUAAUAACCACAGCAAUUGACGUUACCCGCAGAAGAAGCACCGGCUAACUCCGUCCCAGCAGCCGCAGUAAGAC
rnacentral:rRNA from 1 species